CCGAGAGUUUUAGUGAACAUGUUAAAUUUUAUACGAAGGACGGAGAAGGUGUCAAACGAGGUGCUAGUACAGAAAUACAGUACCUGUAUUCAAAUUCAAUCUCUGACACUGCUUGUGGGAUCUUGGGAAAAUCGCCAAACCUCCCUGAACUUCAGUUUUCUCUUCUGUAAAAGGAGUGAGUUGGCAUAGAAGCCUCCGAGGUCCCUUCCAGCCCUAAAUCUACGACUGACUCACUUGAUAUCAUAAGGCAGGUGGUGUCACGUACUACAGAGAGGUCAGGGAGGAUGUGGACAGAAAAAAGGUUGUAGGAUUUGAUGAUUCACACCCUUCAGUUGCUUGAAAAGUGAUAUUGCUCAGAGUGCGGAAGGAGACAGCGCCUCCAGACUACAAUUCCCAGAAUCCUUCGAGCUGCGGUUUAUCCCUGAGACCUGGCUUCAUUUCCCACAAACCCAUCCACAAAACCCCGUUGGGUCGGAGCCGCGGGGAUCCUCAAACCCUUUCGGGACUGGACGGCGCCUUGCAGGCUUCUCUAGGAAACGCAGUCCGGGCUGGUGACAGGUGGCGGCGCAGGCGCACGCGAGGUCUCGGUGGGCCUGCACUUGCCGCCCCUUUGUGUUCCCUUCCGCUCCUCGCCGCUAUUCCCGUCCCGGGACCCGCGACCCUCGCGCUUGUUGCGGCCAGGCUGGCUAGAGCCCAGAGCCCCGGAGGGAGGGACUCCAGGAGUCUUCAUUUCCUGCAAACAGCUGGGAAGCAAGCGGUGACCAUGAAGAGUUUGGCCAAGGCACUUGGGGAGAGAGAUCUCCCUAUUCAAGAUUUUGUGUCUCUCCAAGAGAAGCCCACAGAGGAGCUGGGAAGAUUAAUAUCUGGCCUGUCAAGAGCCAGAGCCCAGGUGAGUUGAGAGUUUCUUUCCCUUAUCCUAGGAAUUCUGAGUUUCCAGAAGGUAAAAACAUUUUCUUCCCUUCUCCUUAGCAAAAUUCUAUCCAGGAACAUGAGCCCAAAUUGUGCUCCUCCAGGAGACUAGAAUAUUUUUGUGUAAUAGAGUUUUCCAGUUAACCUAGUAAUUCUGUAGGAUAAGGCCAGAUUGUGGAG
rnacentral:lncRNA from 1 species